rnacentral:rRNA from 1 species
UACGGGAGGCAGCAGGCGUGAAUAUUCCACAAUGGGCGAAAGCCUGAUGGAGCAAUGCCGCGUGAGUGAAGAAGGUUUUCGGAUCGUAAAACUCUGUUGUAAGGGAAGAACAAGUACAGUAGUAACUGGCUGUACCUUGACGGUACCUUAUUAAAAAGCCACGGCUAACUACGUGCCAGCAGCCGCGGUAAUA